AAAGAAUGUAGGGAGCAGCAACUCUCGUGUCGACAGUUGGGUGCGUACAGCGAACGGUUCCGCACACAGCCCGUAUUUAUUGUAACACGUAUUGCCGCGUAUUGCGCCAGAACCGGCCGGUGAGUCGACGUUUCAUUACGCCGCAGCCCAGUGCUACCCUUACAGAGCAGCAGCUUUCGAUGACUAAUGCGCACGUGUGAUUUGUUUUUCUUCGGCGCCUUUCUGGAAAGAUCUCGAACAAUGCCGAAAACCUGCGCCGCGGAAAGAUCCGCACGCUCCGCUGCGCAGUUAUCCACCUCUCUCUCUCUCUGUCGUAGUCGUUGCUAGGCAAAACUAUAAAAUAACGCGAGCGCAUCGCAAGCUGGUGGACACGGUGCGCCAUCUAUUGAGCAUAGCAAUAACUGCUGGUGAACAGUGAACCGGACCAAACAGACGGCCUCAAAGACUAUGACUACUAGUACACUGUACUGUGACGAACUGUGUUUUAUGUUUUUUGCUCUCUUUACUUUAUACGCCUCACUUUAUUUCCCUUCUUGUUUUUCUACAUCUCCUGUGGCGUUGACAAACGCCUGCCCUGCGUCAAAAGGGAUCAAGACCACUCACUUAUUACUACACCUCGGGCUACCUGUCGCAGUUGCGUUUGUUGAAACCGACGGUAAACAAUAAAGACAACGUCUGGAAUGUUGUAAAUUGGCCCUUACAAAGCUUCGGCCAGCAGCAUUGCCGAAGCACAAGGGUUUCCUCGCCGCCGAACGCUGUGGCUUCGCUGUUUACUUCCGCGCGCUCAGGAAACAUUCCAAACGAAGCUACAAAGAAAAGCUUCCGGAGAACGCGCGAGAACAUUCUGGAAUUUUCGAAAAGGCAAGAACCAAUGGGAGCGCUCAUCUCGCUGCGGCAGCCGGGCGCUCGGCUCUGAUUGGUCGAAUCUCCUCAAAAGCGUCGUGGAUGCUUCUAGAACUGCCUGGGAAUACUAUAAAAGGCCGCGACGCGCUGUGCGCCCUGGCUUGCGACCUGGGCGCGGCGUUCUACAGUUCCUGAAGGCGGGCGAGAUGCUGAAGCUGGUUGGACACGGCACCGACGGCACCCGUCGACAGAGCCCGAUGAGGCAGUUGGGCGCACCGCACCGAAGGAGCCCGAAUUCGAGGAGCGAGAAUUAUGGAGACAUCACGUAAAAUUGUACAGUCGUUAAGCAGGCUCUAUUUCAUUUCCGAUACGAUGGCUAUGCGUUAGCUUCCUGCGACGAGUGCAGCGGGGAGAGCGCAAAAGCACGGACGUGUUAUCUCAUACGAGCCCCUGGCGUUGAGAGGAUCAUUUUCGGCGCCACGGCUACUGGCGCCGAGUUGCCGCUGAUAGUGCCGCAGCAUAUGCGAUGGAGGAAAUGCACGUUAUGAGAAAGAAAGAAAUGACACUGGUUGCGUGCGCACUCGUUGAUCUGAGAGUGUAGAUAUGCUGCACCUUAGGUCGUAGAGGAAGAAAAAUGAGUCAACAGAAGUUGUCAGGUACGUAUGCAGUUCACGAGAGAGAGAAAAAACAACAAAAGUAGUGAAUGGAGGUGCCUUAUAUCCGAAAAAGCAGCAAUAAAAGCCAAUUUACUAUCGAGAUGUUCCCACUGUGCUAUUUUUCAAGAGAACCUUAUGCACGCAGGCCUCUUCCGAAAUAUAUUGCGCAGCCUUUUCUUUUCAAGUGCCAUCGGCCUUAAUUAUAAUUAUCCUUUUUUAAACUGUCAACAGUCGGUCAACGUUUUGAACAAUGACGGCGGAGCGUUAACCCGUACGGUCCCUACCCUCGAUGCUUACUCACAAAUUGCCUUUUAAGGGGAUUGGCGCUCCAGCGGGAUUUUUUUUUGGCACAGGAUAAGAGUGAUCAUUAUUAUGGGAGUGUGUUACGUAUCGUCAGUUGCAUAAUUCCAACGCACUAAAUAUAUUUCAGGAAAAUUUCGAUGCCGGAUGACAUAGUUGAAUAAAAAAAUAUAUAUUAUGGUGGCCGAAUUUAACGCCAAUUUCUGAAAUGAACUUUACACUAUUUGUUAUUGUGUGCGAUAUCGUCUGCCUACGUGUACUUAAAGGUAUCCCAACGAGCCUCGGGAUAUAGACUCGUACAGACUUGCCGAUAUAAAAUGUUUGUUGUGAAUAAAAGCAUCAUCAGUAGGAAAAAUCAGUGAAGAUACGUUUUAUAACUCGGUAUAUUGAGGCAUGUAAUAUAGUUAACAUUUUAAGCUUCUUGGUAUUAACUUCGCUGUACUCGUAUGAUAUAUUGUCAAUCCUUGUCUGCCGGACAAAACGAACGAAAACGAAGUAGUUCUUUACAAGAACAAUUAAACUUGUAUCUCGGUUUAGAAUUCAAUCUUACAAAACUCGACCUGCUCGCGCUGGCAAUACAAGGUAUUUGAUCAAUAUCACAUUAAAUUACACAUGAAAGAGUGUGACUCAAUGGACACACAAUGAAAGGUAGCCGCAUCAAUGGGCAGAGAUAUGCUCUCCCUGCGAUGUGGCUUUUAAUGAUUUAUCAUUUGGCCAAUCGGAAGCUACUAUCUGCAAUCAUUGCGAGCGUUUCUCUAACUUCAGGGGUACAUGAGGUCACUCUAAUGGCAGGCUGUACCGGGGUGCACGAGUGGGAAAAACAUGAGCACCUCUUGGAUUGCGACUCCCUGACCCGUGCUACUAGCAUCUGUGGCCCUACAACGCAGUGUUUGCCAAGGGACCGUUCUUCUGUCACCAAUUCCGACAGCCCCCUUUCAUUCUCCAAAAACACCGGGCAGGAAAGGUGUAACGAUUCAGUCGAUCAGGGGGCGUGGAGGUAAGAGGAAACGGGGGUGAUGCCGCGAUGUUGACGACCUCGUCUCUUGGUUAGGGUUGCUCUGACUCCUCUGGUAAGGCGUUUGAGAAAUGCCGUAAGGUAGCAUAUUAAUCA
rnacentral:lncRNA from 1 species